rnacentral:lncRNA from 1 species
UUUUUUGCUAAAAACUUUUUCAAAAGUAUUUAAAGAGCCUUUGCAUAGUUUACGAAUUCUGCUUAGUAGGGACCUAAAAACAGGAAUUUUUUUUCUCAGAGUCGGACCACGCCUUAUGACGAAAGGGGGAGAAAGGACGGAUCACCUGUCGAUCUGUGAUCAAAGAAAACUAUACCUGAAGAAUGGGAUACAGAUUGACAAGCACAAAAGGGUAGGCUUGGCUAUUAAUCUACGCUCAUUGAUGAGACGGCGACAUAGAGAAGAAAGUAUACCCUUUGUCACCCCCUUGUCACUUAAAAGUAAAGAAGAGAUACACACUUUGGAAUCCAAAUUUAAGAUUGACAAGCACAAAAGGGUAUGCUCGUUAGAGUUAGGGAAAAAAGCUAGCUGGAAGUAAUCUCUUCUUCUCAGUGAAAGCUAAAGGCCCUGGUAUAGUAGGAGUGUGGUGCGUGCUCUCUUUAUUCUGUAGAUGCGCUCCUGGGAAGGGAAGCCAGAAUUUUUGAUGUAGAUCGAUCAAUCCCGCCCUGUUCAAGUGAUCGCCCCGAGCCGAGCGAGAUU